AUACAGGAAUCAAAUAACUACAAUACAGCAAGGAUCAUUUCAAGACCUACCAGCACUAGGCCGCCUAGCAUUGCACCAAAAUCAAUUAACAACAAUACAGCAAGGAACAUUUCAAGACCUACCAUCGCUUAACCUUCUAAGUUUGAGAUCAAACAAUCUGACAUUUAUCAGGAAAGACACUUUCGAAAAUCUUACCAACUUAAAAUCUCUGUA